UGUUUUGUCCUUAUCUUAAAUCGGUUGAUAAUCUCUACUGAUGUCUUUGAAUCUUACAGGGUAAUGCUCAUGCCUAUUUAUUUAUUAAUUUUUUUAGUAAGGAGUGUAUGCUUCAACUAAUUUGAUAUUUUCAGAUAGUAUCAAGCUCUCAAGGUUCUUAGAUAUUCAGCUGCAAGGAGGAAGAAAGACAGGUGAACUGUGAGAUCUUGAUUUGUUUGCAGCAGCUCCUGGAUAGGGACAUGGAGAAAUGCAAGAAUUGUAAGCAAAGGAUGCUGAAAAGAAGUUUUCUGAAAUUCCCAAUAUCAUUUGUUUGG
rnacentral:lncRNA from 1 species